AAGGCAGGAAUAAGGAACAGAUACAUCACUAGCACGCUGGUGGGGUGAGACUCGGCAGACACGGGAAGAGGCUCCUAGGGACAGUUCACCCCAGGCUUACGUCCUCUUCAUGUUCUGGUCUUUCCUUCCAGAGGGACGCCGCGGAAGCGGAGCUGCAGCUGAACCUCGCUGGCGACGGGGCUCCGCGGAGAGAGGGAGAGAAAGAAAAGAGCGAAGGAGAGCCAGCUGUGAGUGCGUUUCCCGUUCCUGGCUCCUCCUAGGAGGCCUCGGCCUCAGUUCUGCAUAUUUUACUCCCGCGCUGGGAAACCCUAAACGACUCCAGCAGCCCGGCGCGCAGGGCUGUAACCUUCCCCCGUUCUCACGGAGACGCAGAGGCGAGGCCGUCCAGGAUCUCCAGGAGUGCCCGGUUUCCCUAACCUCCACCCCAGGUCCCAGGCAGGACCCCAGGCUGCGCUGGCAGGCAGACCCCGCCUCGGGCUGCUCUUUCCUGCGCUGUCGACCGCGAGGGCGUCUACCAGCUGCACGUCCAGGUGACCCUGGCCAGGUGCUGCUCCCAAGGGACACCAGGCACCGCAAUGCCACCCUGGCCGUGGGGCUCUGAACCCCGCCCCCCACAGAGUCAGCCUGCUGCGCCUGGGCUUGUCCAGGCCUGCACUGUGGCCUCUCAGCGCCUGACGCCCUCUGCGCCAACCUCAGCCCCCAGCGCCUGCCCUCCCCCAACACCGACAAGAACUUCUUGGGCAUCCACUCCUGACCACCCCCGGCUCGGCUGCUCUGCUUCUGUUUUCUGUAAAUGAAUGUGUUUUUCAAUUUCACCUUGACUUGCAUAUUUGAUGGGUAUGGCCCAUCUCCUGGAUGCUUGGAGCAACCUUUGGCUAUGUGGCUGGCCUUGUUAUUUCACCACUCUGGAUAUACUGGAAUAGAAAGCAACUUACAUACAGGAACAAUUAACCGGAGCAAAGGGAGAGACAUUUCUUUGUGCAGAUUCCAUAAGGGCUGUGCAGAAAUGUGUAUGGUCAAAGCCAAGCAGUUCCAUUUACACCACUGUUGUUUUUUUUUAAAUAUAGUUUCAACAUGAUGUGAUUGUAGCUUUGUAAACUAUGAAAACCCUGAGAGAUUGUACCUUCUAGUUGAACUAAAGUAUUUAUAAUAGAUUGUGC
rnacentral:lncRNA from 1 species